GACAGAGGGUGCAAACGUUGCUCGGAAUUACUGGGCGUAAAGCGCGUGUAGGCGGACUGAUAAGUCAGGUGUGAAAUCCCCGGGCUCAACCCGGGAACUGCACUUGAAACUGCCAGUCUUGAGUGAUGGAGAGGAUGGCGGAAUUCCUGGUGUAGAGGUGAAAUUCGUAGAUAUCAGGAGGAACACCGGUGGCGAAGGCGGCCAUCUGGAAAUCUACUGACGCUGAGACGCGAAAGCGUGGGGAGCAAACAGGAUUAGAUACCCUGGUAGUCCACGCCGUAAACGAUGAGUGCUAGGUGUCGUGGGUUUUGACCCCCGCGGUGCCGUAGCUAACGCAUUAAGCACUCCGCCUGGGAAGUACGGUCGCAAGACUAAA
rnacentral:rRNA from 1 species